rnacentral:rRNA from 1 species
GCGGCGGCAAACGUGCUCCUAGUAGUGUGCGGCCUCACGGCGGUCCGCCUUGUCUCAGAAGAAUCGACAUGGACUGUAUAAGCAUCGAUGCCUACCGUCGUUGACAGUGGGGCGGCUUGCAGCAAAGGAUGGUGUCUACAGAACAAGCCCCCGGCGAGUGCCCUGACCGAGAGGGAGCGCCACGCUGUGCAAAGGGAAGAAGGCCGAGCGGCAAUUAUACUAUGAAAAACUAAAACGUUUAGAAACAACCGGCUGAUCACAGCGCGGGCGUCGAUCACUUCAAACUUGUAGAACAAGCGUAAGACGAACAAAGACCGGAUCUACCACUCGAGUUUCAAGACAUAGACACAUAGUGGAGCACUCGGGAGUGCUACACAAAUACACAAUACAACUUCCCAGUGCUGAAAAAUCAGCAGCAAAAGUUGACAUGACAAAAACACCAGCUCGCCACAAACAGGAAUACAGCAGCCUCCACAACAAGAGCACUAGUAUAUUUCUUUUCAACGAAGCAACAGAGCACUAGUAUAGAUAGUAUUGGUCGUAGAAAUGCAAGACGGCGAAUUUCCACGAACGAGAGCCAAGCCCACGGGAAGGGAUGCACGCACAGUUUACACACUCCAUUACAAUCCUCCCAUGGAGGAGGAAGAAGAAGACAUUUGCCAAAGAUGUAUAGUUGCCCUACACGGCCUGACACCCGCCUAGCUAGCUAGCUACCUCCGCCGCCGCGCACCGCCGUCGCCGCCGGUGAAGCAGCUGGGAAGUAAGACGCCGACAGUGGCUACCGUCAGAGGCCAUUGUUGGGGGGUAUAUACCUGGGAGGAGCUCCUCCCAGGCGAGGGAGUCCUCCAUGGGAGACGCCGGGCAAGGCUUCAUAUAUAGAACCGCACAAGCGCACGAGGCUUCCAUCGGCGAGUGGAAGCUCCGGUGGCCCGGUGACCUAAGUGAGGGGGCAUCUUCCCUGGCAUAUUCCUGAGCAUAUGAGAACUUCUGCUUUUCUCGCCCCCGUGCUUUGCUCCGCUUUGGAGUAUUCAAAGGUAUAUUCUGUGCUUUCUCGCGUGGCUUUGGAGCCCUCUGUGAUUGUGGAAUAAUUUGGGCGAUUGCGAGCGAUCUCUGUACGUGUUUUGGAGUGGCUUGACGCAGCAUGGGCUGGAAAGGUUGUUUGUUUGGUGCGUGGUCGCCUAGAUCAAAUCUUGCGUGGACCUACUGAACAGCUGACAACACUAUGGCUGCCUUUGCAUUGUCUGCCCCUACCUGUAGUAUCCUCCUGAUGAUGAUGUUUUUGAGGUACAAAUCUCACCGGGCAAGUAAAUCGUAUUAUCUCCAAAAUAUGCUCAUGUUGUCUUUGAUUAAGGCCCCCGUUCGGAUCCCCUCCUGUUCCCAGCUUCAUCGGCUCCGCUCGUGGAACUGGCCCGAACACAGCAGCUCCGAGAAGCCCCCGCUUCCCGGAGCAAACAACCCUCACAGUGCAAAAAUAAGAAGCUGGUCAGACCCGUUCUCAAAAACCGAAGGAGGCGGAGUUAGACACUAUUACCUGAAACCGCCAAAGCGCC